rnacentral:rRNA from 1 species
AACGAACGCUGGCGGCAUGCCUAACACAUGCAAGUCGAACGAUACCUUCAGGUCUAUUGGCUCACGGGUUCGUAACGCGUGGGAACCUUCCCUUAGGUUCGGAAUAACUCCCCGAAAGGGGUGCUAAUACCGGAUAAUAUCUUCUGACCAAAGAUUAAUCGCCUUUGGAUGGGCCCGCGUUGGAUUAGCUAUUUGGUAGGGUAAAAGACUACCAAGGCGACGAUCCAUAGCUGGUCUGAGAGCAUGAUCAGCCACACUGGGACUGGGACACGGCCCAGACUCCUGCGGGAGGGAGCAGUGGGGAAUAUUGGACAAUGGGCGAAAGCCUGAUCCAGCAAUGCCGCGUGAGUGAUGAAGGCCUUAGGGUUGUAAAGCUCUUUUACCCGGGAUGAUAAUGACAGUACCGGGAGAAUAAGCUCCGGCUAACUCCGUG